rnacentral:rRNA from 1 species
CCUACGGGGGGCAGCAGUGGGGAAUAUUGGACAAUGGGGGCAACCCUGAUCCAGCCAUGCCGCGUGUGUGAAGAAGGCCCUCGGGUUGUAAAGCACUUUCAGUGAGGAAGAACGCCUGGUGGUUAAUACCCAUCAGGAAAGACAUCACUCACAGAAGAAGCACCGGCUAACUCCGUGCCAGCAGCCGCGGUAAUACGGAGGGUGCGAGCGUUAAUCGGAAUUACUGGGCGUAAAGCGCGCGUAGGUGGCUUGAUAAGCCGGUUGUGAAAGCCCCGGGCUCAACCUGGGAACGGCAUCCGGAACUGUCAAGCUAGAGUGCAGGAGAGGAAGGUAGAAUUCCCGGUGUAGCGGUGAAAUGCGUAGAGAUCGGGAGGAAUACCAGUGGCGAAGGCGGCCUUCUGGACUGACACUGACACUGAGGUGCGAAAGCGUGGGUAGCAAACAGGAUUAGAUACCCGAGUAGGC